GGCCCUCUCCUCACCCCUCCCCACCUGGCAUCCCAAACUAACCCCCUCCCUAUGUGUCUCCUGUCUCCCAUCCGUCCCUCUUCCUCUGCUUUCCCUCAGCACGACACCUGAGUGGAGUUCGGCUUCGCAGCCGUCUCCACUCAGGUAAUCAACCUCCUCCAUGAGUCCCGGGCAGCUGGAAGAAAUCACCCUGAUUAUCCACCUCACAAUAAGUACCGGCUCAACACUCCACACCCUGCCAGAUUGUUGAAAUAGACUUCGCUACCCAGCUGCCCGGAGACCUCCCCACCUGGAACCCUCACUGGAACCCCCCUGAGCCAUUCGGCACCGGUCCCCUCCCCACUUGGAUCCCCCAUUCCGCCUGGACCCCUUCCUUGAGCCCCCAACCCGCUUCCCUCCUGGCUGCUGAAGCCGCAGCAGACAACCGGCUCUCCCUGCCUCCCGGAGCCCCCUCCCGGAACAUCACCGGCGAGACGCCGUCUCUGCUCGGCCAAUCCGACACCUCGGCCCCCCCGGAUCGUCAGAGUGCUACGUCCGUCCUCUCCAAACUCCUCUCCUCCACCGAACUCUAAGCCCUUGACGUCUGGCCGCCAGGGAUCCCCCACAGAGAUCCGCGACGCUCCGGUCCCGCCCGGACCCCGGACGACCGCCGAUCCCCGGCCCCCAGAUCCACCCGGCCACAUCCUCCCCCCGCCUGCAUUCCCGUCCCUGCAUUCCGGUCCUCAUACUCCAGCCAUAUCCACCCCUGAACAAUAAAUCCUUUUUCAACUUC